AAAUACUACCCAGUGACCGAUAGCGUAUAGUACUGUGAAGGAAAGGUGAAAAGGACCCCGGGAGGGGAGUGAAAUAGAACCUGAAACCUUGUGCCUACAAGCACAUAGAGCACAUCAACGUGUGAUAUGGUACUUUUUGUAGAACGGUCCGGCGAGCGAUUGUAUGUUGCGAGCUUAAGGUCUUAAGGACUGGAGGCGUAGCGAGAGCGAGUCUGAAUAGGGCGUUCAGUAGCAUGCAAUGGGCCCGAAACCGGGUGACCUACCCAUGAUCAGGCUGAAGUGAAAGUAAAAUUUCAUGGAGGGCCGAACCGACCUCCGUUGAAAAGGCGGCGGAUGAAUUGUGGGUAGCGGAGAAAUUCCAAUCGAACUCGGAGAUAGCUGGUUCUCCCCGAAAUAGCUUUAGGGCUAGCGUUAUGUUAGAUUACCGGAGGUAAAGCACUGAAUGGUGGCGGGGCCGAUAAGGUUACCAAGACCUAUCAAACUCUGAAUGCCGGAUAAUUGAUGCAUAGCAGUCAGACAGCGUGAGAUAAGUUUCGUUGUCAAAAGGGAAACAGCCCAGACCCACAGCUAAGGUCCCAAAUUCAUGCUAAGUGGAAAACGAUGUGGAAUUGCGAAAACAACCAGGAUGUUGGCUUAGAAGCAGCCACUCAUUAAAAGAGUGCGUAAUAGCUCACUGGUCGAGUGACUCUGCGCGGAAAAUAUAACGGGGCUAAGCAUGAAACCGAAGCUUGGGCUUGUACUUAGGUACAGGGGUAGGGGAGCGUCGAGUAUGGGGUGAAGUCAGAGCGGAAGCACUGGUGGACUGUACUCGAGUGAGAAUGCCGGAAUGAGUAGCGAGAAUUAUGUGGGAAUCAUAAUGGCCGAAAAUCUAAGGUUUCUUGGGGAAGGUUCGUCCGCCCAAGGUAAGUCGGGAGCUAAGCUCAGGCCGAGAGGCGUAGGCGAUGCACAUACGGUAGAAAUUCCGUAACCACCGAAACUUAAACAGAGGGACACUUCGAAAUAGCGGAACCCGGGCGUUGGUUGACCCGGGCGAAAGGGAGCGAAAUUAGAGUAGCGAAGUCCGCGAUGUUCGGAGGCGAGAAAAGCUCUGAGGUAUGCUAAGGUGCCCGUACCGCAAACCGACACAGGUAGAUGAGGAGAGAAUCCUAAGGCCAACGGGAGAAGGGUUGUUAAGGAACUCGGCAAAUUGACCCCGUAACUUCGGGAGAAGGGGUGCUCCAGAGAUGGAGCCGCAGAGAAUCGGCCCAAGCAACUGUUUACCAAAAACACAGGUUUGUGCUAAAUCGAAAGAUGACGUAUACGAGCUGACGCCUGCCCGGUGCUGGAAGGUUAAGAGGAGAUGUGCAAGCAUUGAAUCGAAGCCCCAGUGAACGGCGGCCGUAACUAUAACGGUCCUAAGGUAGCGAAAUUCCUUGUCAGGUAAGUUCUGACCCGCAUGAAAGGCGUAAUGAUUUGGGCACUGUCUCAACAGCCCGCCCGGCGAAAUUGUAGUACCGGUGAAGAUGCCGGUUACCCGCGACAAGACGGAAAGACCCCAUGGAGCUUUACUGUAGCCUAAUAUUGGGUUUCGAUGUUGCAUGCACAGGAUAGAUGGGACACUGGGAAGCAGGUGCUUUGGCGCUUGUGGAGUGGCCGUUGGGAUACCAUCCUUGCGAUAUUGGAAUUCUAACCUGCGCCUUUGAAUCAAGGCGGGGGACAUUGUUAGGUGGGCAGUUUGACUGGGGCGGUCGCCUCCUAAAGAGUAACGGAGGCGUUCAAAGGUUCGCUCAGCUUGAACGGAAAUCAAGCAAAAGAGUGCAAACGCAGAAGCGAGCCUAACUGCGAGACUGACGGGUCGAGCAGUAACGAAAGUUGGAGUUAGUGAUCCGGUGGUAUGUGAGUGGAAAUGCCAUCGCUCAACGGAUAAAAGUUACCCUGGGGAUAACAGGCUGAUCUCCCCCAAGAGUCCACAUCGACGGGGAGGUUUGGCACCUCGAUGUCGGCUCAUCGCAUCCUGGGGCUGAAUUCGGUCCCAAGGGUUUGGCUGUUCGCCAAUUAAAGCGGCACGCGAGCUGGGUUCAGAACGUCGUGAGACAGUUCGGUCCCUAUCCGUCGCGGGCGUAGGAAAUUUGAGAGGAUCUGCUCCUAGUACGAGAGGACCAGAGUGGACUUACCGCUGGUGUACCAGUUGUUCUGCCAAGAGCAUCGCUGGGUAGCUAUGUAGGGAAGGGAUAAACGCUGAAAGCAUCUAAGUGUGAAGCCCACCUCAAGAUGAGAUUUCCCAUGAUUUU
rnacentral:rRNA from 1 species